rnacentral:rRNA from 1 species
GACGAACGCUGGCGGCGUGCUUAACACAUGCAAGUCGAACGGAAAGGCCCUGCUUUUGUGGGGUGCUCGAGUGGCGAACGGGUGAGUAACACGUGAGUAACCUGCCCUUGACUUUGGGAUAACUUCAGGAAACUGGGGCUAAUACCGGAUAGGAGCUCCUGCUGCAUGGUGGGGGUUGGAAAGUUUCGGCGGUUGGGGAUGGACUCGCGGCUUAUCAGCUUGUUGGUGGGGUAGUGGCUUACCAAGGCUUUGACGGGUAGCCGGCCUGAGAGGGUGACCGGCCACAUUGGGACUGAGAUACGGCCCAGACUCCUACGGGAGGCAGGAGUGGGGAAUAGUGCACAAUGGGCGGAAGCCUGAUGCAGCAACGCCGCGUGCGGGAUGACGGCCUUCGGGUUGUAAACCACUUUCGCCUGUGACGAAGCGUGAGUGACGGUAAUGGGUAAAGAAGCACCGGCUAACUACGUG